rfam:Triticum aestivum genome assembly, contig: Triticum_aestivum_CS42_TGACv1_scaffold_225295_3B
AUAGUAUUCCCUUCGUUCCGAAUUACUUGUCACGGAUAUGGAUGUAUCUAGAUGUAUUUUAAUUCUAGAUACAUCCAUUUCUGCGACGAGUAAUUUGGAACGAAGGGAGUAGCUU